UACGGAGGGUGCAAACGUUGCUCGGAAUUAUUGGGCGUAAAGCGCACGUAGGCGGCCUAGCAAGUCGGAUGUGAAAUCCCUCGGCUUAACCGAGGAAGUGCAUUCGAAACUACAAGGCUUGAAUACUCAAGAGGGUCUCGGAAUUCCCGGUGUAGAGGUGAAAUUCGUAGAUAUCGGGAGGAACACCAGUGGCGAAGGCGGAGACCUGGGGGAGCGAUUGACGCUGAGGUGCGAAAGCGUGGGGAGCGAACAGG
rnacentral:rRNA from 1 species